CCUACGGGAGGCAGCAGUGAGGAAUAUUGGUCAAUGGCCGAGAGGCUGAACCAGCCAAGUCGCGUGAGGGAAGACGGCCCUACGGGUUGUAAACCCCUUUUGUCGGGGAGCAAAGCGAGUCACGUGUGACGCAUUGAGAGUACCCGAAGAAAAAGCAUCGGCUAACUCCGUGCCAGCAGCCGCGGUAAUACGGAGGAUGCGAGCGUUAUCCGGAUUUAUGGGGUUAAACGGGUGCGCAGGCGGAGGUGCAAGUCAGCGGGCAAGUUGCGGGGCCAAACCCCGUACUGCCGUUGAAACUGCAUCGCUUGAGUGCACGAGAGGUAUGCGGAAUGCGUGGUGUAGCGGUGAAAUGCGUAGAUAUCACGAAGAACUCCGAUUGCGAAGGCAGCAUACCGGAGCGCAACUGACGCUGAUGCACGAAAGCGUGGGUAUCGAACAGGAUUAGAUACCCGUGUAGUC
rnacentral:rRNA from 1 species